rnacentral:rRNA from 1 species
CCUACGGGCGGCAGCAGUGAGGAAUAUUGGUCAAUGGUCGGGAGACUGAACCAGCCAAGCCGCGUGAGGGAUGAAGGUACAGAGUAUCGUAAACCUCUUUUGUCAGGGAACAAAGGCGGGGACGUGUCCCCGGAUGAGUGUACCUGAAGAAAAAGCAUCGGCUAACUCCGUGCCAGCAGCCGCGGUAAUACGGAGGGUGCGAGCGUUAUCCGGAUUUAUUGGGUUUAAAGGGUGCGGAGGCGGUCUGUUAAGUCAGCGGUCAAAGUCCGGGGCUCAACCCCGGCCCGCCGUUGAAACUGGCAGUCUCGAGUUGGAGAGAAGUAUGCGGAAUGCGCGGUGUAGCGGUGAAAUGCAUAGAUAUCGCGCAGAACUCCGAUUGCGAAGGCAACAUGCCGGCUCCACACUGACGCUGAGGCACGAAAGCGUGGGUAUCGAACAGGAUUAGAUACCCUGGUAGUC